rnacentral:rRNA from 1 species
GAUGAACGCUGGCGGCGUGCCUAAUACAUGCAAGUCGAGCGAACGGACGAGAAGCUUGCUUCUCUGAUGUUAGCGGCGGACGGGUGGGUAACACGUGGAUAACCUACCUAUAAGACUGGGAUAACUUCGGGAAACCGGAGCUAAUACCGGAUGAUAUUUUGAACCGCAUGGUUCAAAAGUGAAAGACGGUCUUGCUGUCACUUAUAGAUGGAUCCGCGCUGCAUUAGCUAGUUGGUAAGGUAACGGCUUACCAAGGCAACGAUGCAUAGCCGACCUGAGAGGGUGAUCGGCCACACUGGAACUGAGACACGGUCCAGACUCCUACGGGAGGCAGCAGUAGGGAAUCUUCCGCAAUGGGCGAAAGCCUGACGGAGCAACGCCGCGUGAGUGAUGAAGGUCUUCGGAUCGUAAAACUCUGUUAUUAGGGAAGAACAUAUGUGUAAGUAACUGUGCACAUCUUGACGGUACCUAAUCAGAAAGCCACGGCUAACUACGUGC